CUGUACUUGCAGCUGUACUCUGACAAUGACCUUUGCAGACAAGAGGGUGUUACCAGAAUCAAGAUUUUGCUACUGGAGCAGAGGAAGAUUUUUGCUACUGAGCUUACCUUUACUGACCUGCUGAACUGGGAUGGUAGAGGACUACUCCAUCGUAUCCUUCCAGUUUCACCUUUACACUUUGUUAGAACACUGAAUAAAUCACUGGCGGAAAGCGAUAAAGUGAAGAUGCUAAAUCGCUAAUUCAUCACCAUCACCAGCGGUUAAAUGAAAAUACAGCUUUUUGAAGCGGAAUUCUUCUUCAAAGCUUAGGAAAAGAUACUUCAUUUUAUUUUAUUAUACUUUAGCUUCUGAUACAGAAGUUGGGAUCAAAUCUAAUAAAA